rnacentral:lncRNA from 1 species
UGGGCACUACCAACACUCGUGAUAGAAGUGGUUUGAGUUUUAGAAGCUGUGUACUGCUUAUUCUUAUUUCUACUCGAGAAUCCCAUUGAAGCAUUCGAUUGAGUAGGAAACUCUCUUGAUCUCUUGGAUGAGGUCUGAUGUGAUUUCCCCAUUUGUCUUCUCUUUGAGUCACGGGACUCCAUAUCAGUUUUUCUCUUCACUUUGGCCAAUUCUUCUGCCUUGCAAGCUCUUUC